UACGUAGGUGGCAAGCGUUGUCCGGAUUUACUGGGCGUAAAGAGCGCGCAGGCGGUCGUGCAAGUCGCGUGUUGAAAGCCCCCGGCUCAACUGGGGAGGGUCACGCGAUACUGCUCGACUUGAAGGCAGGAGAGGGAAGUGGAAUUCCCGGUGUAGUGGUGAAAUGCGUAGAUAUCGGGGAGGAACACCAGUGGCGAAGGCGACUUCCUGGCCUGUUCUUGACGCUGAGGCGCGAAAGCUAGGGUAGCAAACGGGG
rnacentral:rRNA from 1 species